CCUACGGGAGGCAGCAGUGGGGAAUAUUGCGCAAUGGGCGAAAGCCUGACGCAGCGACGCCGCGUGAGGGAUGAAGGUCUUCGGAUCGUAAACCUCUGUCAGCAGGGAAGAACGGUCACUGUGCUAAUCAGCAGUGAAUUGACGGUACCUGCAAAGGAAGCACCGGCUAACGCCGUGCCAGCAGCCGCGGUAAUACGGAGGGUGCGAGCGUUAAUCGGAAUUACUGGGCGUAAAGCGCUCGUAGGCGGUAUGUCAAGUCAAGGGUGAAAUCCCCGCGCUCAACGUGGGAACUGCCUUUGAAACUGGCAAACUGGAGUGUGUGAGAGGAUAGUGGAAUUCCAGGUGUAGGAGUGAAAGCCGUAGAUAUCUGGAGGAACAUCAGUGGCGAAGGCGACUAUCUGGCACAUAACUGACGCUGAGGAGCGAAAGCGUGGGUAGCAAACAGGAUUAGAUACCCUAGUAGUC
rnacentral:rRNA from 1 species